ACUCCUACGGGAGGCAGCAGUGGGGAAUAUUGCACAAUGGGCGCAAGCCUGAUGCAGCCAUGCCGCGUGUAUGAAGAAGGCCUUCGGGUUGUAAAGUACUUUCAGCAGUGAGGAAGGCGGGUGUGUUAAUAGCGCAUUCGUUUGACGUUAGCUGCAGAAGAAGCACCGGCUAACUCCGUGCCAGCAGCCGCGGUAAUACGGAGGGUGCGAGCGUUAAUCGGAAUUACUGGGCGUAAAAGCGCAUGCAGGUGGUUUGUUAAGUCAGAUGUGAAAGCCCGGGGCUCAACCUCGGAAUUGCAUUUGAAACUGGCAGACUAGAGUACUGUAGAGGGGGGUAGAAUUUCAGGUGUGCGGUGAAAUGCGUAGAGAUCUGAAGGAAUACCGGUGGCGAAGGCGGCCCCCCUGGACAGAUACUGACACUCAGAUGCGAAAGCGUGGGGAGCAAACAGGAUUAGAUACCCUGGUAGAUAGCG
rnacentral:rRNA from 1 species